rnacentral:rRNA from 1 species
UACAGAGGUCUCAAGCGUUGUUCGGAUUCAUUGGGCGUAAAGAGCUCGUAGGCGGUUUGUCGCGUCUGCUGUGAAAACUGGAGGCUCAACCUCCAGCCUGCAGUGGGUACGGGCAGACUAGAGUGCGGUAGGGGAGAUUGGAAUUCCUGGUGUAGCGGUGGAAUGCGCAGAUAUCAGGAGGAACACCGAUGGCGAAGGCAGAUCUCUGGGCCGUAACUGACGCUGAGGAGCGAAAGCAUGGGGAGCGAACAGG